GACGUGACAGACGGAAUAUCACAU
rnacentral:miRNA from 1 species